GGGGGGGGGGCUUUGUCCUUUACAUUUUGGAGUUGAAGUCAUGUAAGUCGAGGAACAUGGGGAGCAAGGCUGAAAUAGCGAAAGUGCUGAAGGGCAUCUUGAAGUGGCCAAAACAGCUGCACAUUAGCUUGCUGUGUUGUAGUUGAUCACUUCUCCUUUUUACAAAAUUUAUCCUUUCUUUUUUUUUAAUUUGUCUCCAAGGGGAAUGUGCUGGUCAGGCCAUCUUGACAUCUGAUCAUGUUGAGGCUUCUAAACAUACUGCAGUAAUAUGUGCGCUGGUGAGCUGCAUCCAAGCUUACUGAAAUGAACACAAAAGCACCACAUGUUGUGAAGUUCAUCCACAGACAUUGUGUCGCUUGUCUUGUGGUGCAAUGCAACCUUCUGCUGUGGAACUUGAAAUUUUGCUUGUUUGUUUCAGCCACCUAUCCCCUAGGGCAUCUGCCACUGAACUGAUGUAUUUUACAGUUGUUUGCCAAGUACUGUGCUACAUUGCUGCCUUAUUGUAUCACUAUUCAUUUAACAUUCCACCAUUGCUAGGACAUGCCCAGUUAGCACAUUGAGAGUAUGGCGCUGAGGAAUAGCGGUUGAGACCACACUUUGAUAGUUAAGGUAUGCACAAGGUUCAAGCCUGCUUUAGUCUAAAGUUGAGCUUAAGUACAACUAACAUUGCUUUUAGAAUGCACAUUGCAGACACAGUUGUAUAGUUCAAGCAGCUGGUGUCAUAAUAAAAACUCGUUUUUUCUCCUCUGCUAGUAUAGUCACAGUGGAAAUUUGUAAAGUGGGAUUUGCAGAUAUCAAAAGCUGCGGCUAAAUUAUGGGCAUGGUUAAGUAUAUAUUUGGCAGGUACUGGAAAAGAGAGCAAAAUACAGGCCUGAACAUUUUUUCAGUUAUUAUAGCAAGCACCUGGGUACUUGGUUACUAGACAUAGCCAGCUCACAAGAAGCCCUGCAGGCACAUUAUGAGUGUCAAAGGUCUUAUUCCUUUCUAUCUGCUGGCGCAGCACUGGUCUAUUAGUUACAUACACAUUUAGUCAGAAGUACCUGGUCCGCAUUGCAUUUUGACCACAGUUGACAAAAUAACUGUAAAAUAGGUGUUGCACAUUCACAACUUCAGAGCUUGAAAACUGGGGAUGACUGUUAUCCUCAGAUAUCACAUAUUAACAGCACCAGCGUUAUUUUAGUCCCACCCGCAGUUUACCGAUCACACUACCGGUUCCAAAACAUUGAACUCGGGUAGGUAUACCUGGUAGGCACUUUGUUAGGGUCAGUUUACUUGCAUGCCAGCACACAAGUGACAGGAUGUAAAUUCACUUCGGUGCUUCAUAGCUUCUCGCUUGCAAAAGCAGGGCUCAAGAUGGUAAAUCUGGCUGCCGCAAAACGAUGUCCCAAAUUAGAACAUUGUUUAGGCAAAGGACAAAAGAACCAUUACUAGAAAAAAGGGCACAAGAAAGGCAUGAAGGAAAACCAGCUCCCACAUCGCAGUUUGUUUCCGAUACUGGAUGUCUUUUGCACUGUCGCUUUUUAAGGUUUCUCUCACCCACCUUAUCACUUUUCGUUGAUGUGCAUGUCCAAGUCCUCACCCAGUCUAUGACACUGCAGCUCUCUCAUCUCUCCUGCAAAAGCUUUAAAAACGUUUCAUCUAAAGUAUCACAUGUGACAUGAGGACAGGGUCUUCAUGCAAGCCUUCUUGACAGUUCUUUGUGUAGACUCCAGUGUCUCCUUGAACAUGGUAACUUUAUUUUUUGUUCCUAUCCUGCUUUCGAUGCAUUUGUAGCACUGUUUAUAACUGCAAAAGGAACGUGUUUUUAGUCUGACACUUCUUUUAUUUUGAUUGUUAUGCUGUCAUUUCGAAUCGCACCUGCAUCGAAGCUUGUUACUUAAAUGCUCGCUUUCCGGUCAGGUCUGUGUUUGUGGCCCCUACUAUUUUAAGUUAUUGGAUCAGGAACAUUCACCAUGUUCACAGGCCUAUUGGUGUGCAGUAAUGGGCCCUGUCUACACCACGUUAGCGUGGUAGGUUUGCCCAGGCAACAAGUUGCCUCUUAAUGAUGGAACUAUAGUUGCAAAAUUGAAUUGAUAAUAAGUUGUGUGACGUAGACAAUUAACUGCAAUCUUAAAUGGCCAUCUCUGAUUGCACCCUUGGUUCUAUAAGGUGACCUGCAUUCUACUCUAACAACUUUAAAAGACUGAACACUUAGCACUUUCAUUUCUACUCAAAUUUCACAACAUUGUUGCAUAUUUUGGUCCACAAUGUUUAGUAUAACAGUUGUAUAGACUUUCACAGGCAGUAAACCUAAUAUGCAGCAGCUCGUCUUUUCAACAACGAGAUGCUCGUACAACGGUGGUUUUUCACUUCUUUCUGGACACCAUUAGCCAGCAAAGAUGCCAGGUGUUUUAUUGAAUGGCGUAGACCAGAAAAUGGGAUCUUGUGAAAUUUGAGUGAAAGCAAAGCAGUGGUAAGUGCAUGUCCUCUUUUAAAAUUGUCCGAACCAAAACCUAUGCCACUGUAUAUAUCAAACUGGAUUUGUAGCAGCCUAUGAAAUGCUGCAACCUGCCAGUUGUGUGACUGCAGUUAUUUUGGUGCAUCUUUCAUACUUCCGUGUUUUGUGGCUUCUUGCGUGAAAACGCUAGCUUGCUACUUUCGUUUGUUGUGUACAAAUAUACGGCAAAGAAAAAUCCAUGCCCGUGACCAGUGGUCACACAUUGCUGUGUACACUGCGUGGACGACAGUGUGAUACCUAUUUACUUGGUUGCCUUUCAUCAGCAACUAUGACAGAUGUUUUAGCGAAGUAGAGCUUUUAUCAUUUGUAUAACAUGAACAUGCAUAUUAGAUUGUCAUGUUUGUGCAGAUAGCCGUCGUCACAGCUUGGUCGAACAACUUGUAGCGCAACUUUUUGACAGCUUUGUUAAGCAGUAUGUUUCUUCUAGGAGCACCUUACCCACAUUGCCAGCUCUUGAACUUUAAAGUUUGAUGAAAGCAACAUGACUUGCUGUUUUUUUUUUUUUUUUUUUUUGCUGUACAGGGUAGGACAUUAAAAAGGGGAACAACUAACCUUCACUCAAGCAACUCUUGCGGUAAAAGCGUGGCCUGAGACCUCGCUCACUAGUACGUGCUAGAUUGCUAUCCUAUUGAAGAACCUGCUUUUUUUCGCUUCCUGGAUUUGAGUGCAAAUACACUAUGACAGUUUACUGUCUUGAAUGCAAGUCAGAUGUUCCCUUUCUUAGUGUUCCCUGCUGUGCAUAUACGGUGCUUGGUUGUGAGGGUCAACCUUGUGUCAUUGUUUAAAGCAGCUGACGAAGACUCGCAAUUUACAUCAUCGCGUUGUUUAUUUCUUGCUUCACUGAAUUUUCCUCGCUGAGGUCACUUUCCUUGGGAGGUCAAAGAGCCCAUGCUCACUGAAGCAGACCAGCACAAUUUUCUUAACAGAAAACUUGGUGUAGGGGCUCUGGGUUCCCCUUGACAUUUUGUGGUCGCAUCUUAUUGAGGCAGUGCUAAACGGACUUGCUGUACAUAAGUACUAGAGCUCUACUGUUGUACCAAAUGUGAGAUAAAAAAGCACCUAUUUGUAAAUAAUAAUAGACUACAGUGUGUGUGUCACAUGAAAAAAAAAAAAGUGUUUCUAGUAGCUGACAGAGAAAAAAAAAAACUUUUUGUGCUCAAGUUCUUGCCUGUGUAAACAACUUCGCCUACUUUUUCUAUAGAGGUAUCUUUUUAUAAUCGUUUGUCAUAUUUUUAAUGGGUGCUGCUUGUGUUGUCUUGUGUGCGGCCUUGCUGCUCAGCAGAGACGUUUGUUUUUCAGUCACAUGCUUGCUCCGCUGUUGGUUGAAUUAGGUUGGCAAAGUGCGAUCGAGUCUAUCAUUGCCACACUUGGUUUGCUAAGCAGAGCAUUGCUGCUAUAACCUACUGAAUGCAGUUUCUCAAUGGAAUCCUCUGUGGUAGAUAACAAUGACCUAGAACGACUUUAUGAGAUAUGAAUGUUGCGUCAUUUAUGGUUGUAAAGAAUGCUUUACUGUGAUGUCCAUGACUUUUCUUCUGAUUUACAUGAUUUAUAAAGGGCUCGGAAUUGACGUGAAAAUGUGUGCGUGGUUAACUGGCAGCUCUCAUGGUGUCUGUUAUCUGUCAGUGCUCUUGUGUUCCAGUUGGUGGGGCAGGAUCACCCUGUGAUGUGCCUGCAGCACUUAGGUUUCUAAAGGUCUCUUGCAAAAUAGAAGAAAAAAAACAUGUGUGAUGUGCAAGAAUGUCUGCAUCAUUCUUCUAACAUGAUUUAUUGAAAGUACCUUUCUCCUUGUCAGCAGCGGUUCACCAGACAAUUAAAAUAAGCAGGGAAGAGUAGUUUAAAGUAAUGCUAACCCCCCAUAUUCUCAAAUGCUCUUCGACUCAACCUAGUGCAGUGUCAACCAUCAACUGAAGUAGUCACUACUCUACGGUAACACUUUCUCGCGAUUUUUGAGCUGCAAUUUCAUGAUUGGACACCUUCAGCAUCUGCUCAAAAAAAAGAGAAGCGGAGGAGCAUUGUUUAGGCAUGAUGGCUAUUAGUUUUGACGAGGACUGGCGACACUUCUAUUCAGUGAUGUCUAGGAAUGUGUUCGAGGUGAAUCUAUUUGUGAAUACAGGAGUAAAAAAAGCUUAUUCACUUUGUAGAGAACAACUAAUACUUCACCCGACUUUUCUCAAAAUAAGCGUGUGAUUGCCAUGUGUAGGAAGGAGCACAGGUUCACUAUGUCGGCACUGAGCUGUUACGUCUCUCUAGCACUUUAAGGGCAAUUCUGUAAUAGUAUUUUUCUUCUGAAGGGGUAUUCUGUUCUUUCUACUGUGUAGUACCAGCCUUUCCACCAUGUCACAUUUCAAGUUAUGUUUCAGGCCAACUCUUAAGUGAAAGUACCAUCUUGUCUGUGGACUGAAAGAGCUUUGUUGGCUGCUGUGAUGGUAGACAUCUGUUUGACAGCGGUGCCCAUGUGUUGAGUUGCCACCAAAUAUACACUUGCUGGAUAACCUGUUGCUGCUGCAGGCUAGUUAGCCUUAACUAUAUUCAGCAACUUUUUCCAUAUCCUUUAUAAGGUUUGGUUUAAUGUAUCGUUACAGAGAUCAUCAGGCAGGCAGGCAGCAGGGAUGAAAGGCACUUGUGUCCCUUUCUCUCCAUCCGUGUCUAAACUGUAACAGUAAAAACAGCACCACCAAAGUAGCAUAAGGACUCUGUCCAUGGAGCCGCAAGCUCACACAAGCGAAGAUGCAACAUUUUUCUUGCUAAUUAUGGCAUGACGAGAGCACAAAUGUGAGAAGCACAUCUUUGCACUUGUGACUUUUAGUAGUAUGGGCUGUCAGGCCACUUUUUUGACAUGAUAGCUCAGAGCACAAAGAUCUUGUGUUGGCUAGUUAGUGCGACACCUUUGGCUGAAGGCAUGUGCUUUCAUGAUGUGCUCACAUUCUCAUGCAUAGUAGGUGUCUGCUGUCUAAAAAUAAAGCAUUUUCCUCGACGUUGCUUCUCGUGCAGUGAACCAAAUAUCGAAGACAGUUAAACAGUUGACUUAACCCACUAAUGUAGGGGGUGAAUUUGGGAAAUAACUAUUUUUUUGCAUGCGCAUUAUGUAGGGAACCGUAGCUGCAUUUAAUCCAUAUAUUAGCAAGCAGCACAAAACGCAACGACGUAAGGGGUAGAACAAUAGAACGAUGGCCCUCGGACAACUAUUUUCUUAUCCCCCUCCCUGUCGCACGAAAAAAAAAAAUCAUUCCUGUUGUGAAAGAUCCCUUGCAGUGAAAGUCUAAUACGCACAAAAAGAAGAAAUCGGAUAUCCUUGAUGUCACACUCUUGAGUGCAAAAGUACCUUUCGCAUUUCAUUCUUGUGAACAGCUCCAGUAUUUGGUGAACCGCUGCUGACUUGUAAUUACAAAAGAAGAAAAAAAUAUAUAUUGUGGACACCCAUUGUCUAGAUUGCACACUAACAAUUUUCCAACACAGAAUCUACAUGCAAGGUGCUUAUGCCUGUGUACGGUCACUGUAAAGGAUUGGUUUCACUCUGUAUUAUUUAGUUGCCUUCUUUGUGCGCGUGUGUGCAAGUGUGUAAGGGAAAAAAAAAUGGGGAGACACCGUGUGUGAGAUGGUGCAUUGAAGUGAAACGUAUAUAAGACGAGCAUCACAAUGACAAGUGUUGUGGAUGUUUGUACAUACUGUAUUCUCAUAAGAGGUUUGGAUUAUGUAUUUAUUUUCGAGCAUGCGCACGUGUAGGCUUACGCUUAGGGAUACGUAGGUUGUAUUUCUUUUCUUGGGCAUGUAACAAUGCGGGCGUCUGUGUACACAACCUACUUGGUGUUUGUUGUGUUAAAAACGAGUCGUAGCGAGUUAUUCAUUGCGUAUACAUUGAAUUCUGUCUGUCGACUCGUAGUUACUGCAGAAAGAGUCCUCCUAGUUGAUGUACAUGCAAACUCUAUAAAUACUUAUGUGAAAAAUAAAGGCAAGGAUGAUGAAAUGGUCA
rnacentral:lncRNA from 1 species